GCCAUUUUACAGAGUACAAUUAUUCAGUACUCUGGAGUCUGGCACUUCUCUUAUAUUUCAUGCGUGCUUGAAAAAUGUUGUCAAGGAAGAAUAAUUAAAAGCUUUUCAAAACAUCAGGUAUUUAAAUUAAAAAAAAAAAAGGAAGAAAAUCAUUGCAUGAAUUUCCUUUUUUUUUUUUUAAUUUGUUAUUGAUUAACACAAUGAGGGUUACGAGUAUCAGAGCGGCAGUGAGCACUGAGCAGCGGCCCUUGAGAAGCUCCCCUUAUUCUUCUUCUCAGAAGCUGUCCGCAGAAGCCCAUCCUUUUUUCUCCAACUCCAGUCGCAAUGUCUUUAUUCUCUUUCUAUUGUAAUCAAAAUCGAAGUUUCCCAACCUUGAAGCAGAUCGAUACUCCACGAUGGAGUCAUUGCCUGGUGGAAACCAAAAUUCAACAUCAUCCACCAACCCCAAAAUAGGACUUUGGUACUCCACAUGCAAAUAGUCAUCCUUCUUUUCUGCAAUCCUCGGUGUAAAUUUAUCUGGUUUUGUUGACUUUAUCACUUGAAGAAGCUCCUCCAUUG
rnacentral:misc_RNA from 1 species